rnacentral:rRNA from 1 species
ACUCCUACGGGAGGCAGCAGUGGGGAAUAUUGCACAAUGGGGGAAACCCUGAUGCAGCGACGCCGCGUGGAGGAAGAAGGUCUUCGGAUUGUAAACUCCUGUUGUUGAGGAAGAUAAUGACGGUACUCAACAAGGAAGUGACGGCUAACUACGUGCCAGCAGCCGCGGUAAAACGUAGGUCACAAGCGUUGUCCGGAAUUACUGGGUGUAAAGGGAGCGCAGGCGGGAAGACAAGUUGGAAGUGAAAUCCAUGGGCUCAACCCAUGAACUGCUUUCAAAACUGUUUUUCUUGAGUAGUGCAGAGGUAGGCGGAAUUCCCGGUGUAGCGGUGGAAUGCGUAGAUAUCGGGAGGAACACCAGUGGCGAAGGCGGCCUACUGGGCACCAACUGACGCUGAGGCUCGAAAGUGUGGGUAGCAAACAGGAUUAGAUACCCUGGUAGUCCACACCGUAAACGAUGAUUACUAGGUGUUGGAGGAUUGACCCCUUCAGUGCCGCAGUUAACACAAUAAGUAAUCCACCUGGGGAGUACGACCGCAAGGUUGAAACUCAAAGGAAUUGACGGGGGCCCGCACAAGCAGUGGAGUAUGUGGUUUAAUUCGACGCAACGCGAAGAACCUUACCAAGUCUUGACAUCCCUUGACGAUGCUGGAAACAGUAUUUCUCUUCGGAGCAAGGAGACAGGUGGUGCAUGGUUGUCGUCAGCUCGUGUCGUGAGAUGUUGGGUUAAGU